rnacentral:lncRNA from 1 species
AAACAUCCAGGUCCAAACAAUAUUUACAAUAGAUCUCUACAAAAACAUAAAACAAUAGACAAAAAUAACAAGAAGAUUGCUUUUCUGACAUUCAAAACGUCAUAUUGACACAUGAAAAUGACGUUUUUACUCUGGCGGUAGUUAACUACCGUUCCAAAUAUACAGCAUAAAAAAAAAAAAAAAAAAAAUUGCUUCAGCGGUAGUUAACUAGCGAUAAUUAACUACCGUGGAGCAUGUAUAUGAUUUUUUUGGAAUUGUGAGGAUUCUUAACAGGUAGCCACACUUCAUCUCCAUAUUAUCACAAUGGCCUCCUAGCUACAAGCUCAAAAAAAAACCCAUAGACAUAUACAAGACGCAAAAAAUAUUCACUUUUGGAACACAACUUCGGGCAUCCGUUGCCACCUUCUUCAAGUUCCACUAACUUCUCUGAGAAGUAGAUGGUGAUGGUGCAGGAACACCAAAACAGAGAGAAAAUUAUUAAUUUUUUAAAAUACAAUAAUAAACUUGUUAAAAUUAUAAAAUGAUAUUAUGCACCUUUUAUUUGAUGGUGAAUGCUAGACACCAGCUAAUGGCGAAUUAGCUUUUUCAAACUCAAGAAGCAACAAAUAAGGGUAACACGGUAUAACAUAUGAAAGCCUAUCAUUUAUAAAACAAGAUGAAAGUAGGAGGAAAUGGAAGAUUGUCAGAGAAUAACUGCAACAAUAUAUCCUUCACGAUAGUUAACUACCGUUGGAG